ACUCCCAAAGCCCCUGACUCGCAGGGAUCCUCAUCUCCUCUCCCCUGUCCUGUUUCCUCUGGGAAAGGUUUCAUGGCAGGAGUGUGAGAGGCUCAGAGACUCUCGCUUCUGAGCUGGGUUUUAUUGGGAAUCUGAUCUGAGCUCCCUGAGAUGGAGGCAAUGCAACCCAGCAGCUUGGCAAUGCAAUGCCCAGCAGGCGUUGAUUCGGGACACAAAAUCGGUUGGCUUGUCAUUUUGCCUUUGCUGCUAACUGGUUGGGCAAAUCUCUAAUUGCCCUAUGCCUCAGUUUCCCCUUUUGAAAACAAGGAGAAGAAAAAGGUCCUGAACUGCUUUCUUGAACAGCUUUAAGAUCUCCCUCCCCUACCCAGGAAGAGCGUUAAGAGGACAGCUGCGCACUCUGACUUUUAUAGUAGCUAAUAAUGCUAUUUCACAGGGACAGUCCUCACAUUAAGGUCUCUUUCAUUUUUCCUGCCUUCCAUUGUGAACUGAGAGCAGCCAAAAUGAGAGGAAAACUUGGCUCUUGAGCUUUUUUCCCUGAACCCUUCACCUGGCUUGUUUUCCUUUCCUCCUACAGUCUCGGCUGGCUGAGUUCCAAUGCCAAGCUAUGGAAAGAAAAGGACCCACUCUGGGCCAUGCCACGAGCUCCUGCAGUCAGGGCUGAGCGACUCCACGCAAGAUGUGUUGUAAGCACCUGAAAGCUCCUGCACAUCUUGGUCUUGGUCCCGGUCUCGCCAAGUCCGCUUUUGCCGCUAUGGAUGGCCAGCACUGAGGACUUCUGUGAGGAGAAACGCAGCUGGCUGUGAGAUGCUCCAAUGAGCGGUAAUGACGAAGCUUCCCUCAGUGAUGAGGAAGAAGGGAAACGCUUCCGAUGGGCCUGCUCUGCCGCUGUGCACGUUGCAUCCUUGCUGGCCCCCAUCCAAGAUGGCAUACACCACUGGGACCUGUGCUGACCAGCCUUGGAUGUUAUACCACGGAUUGAACCAGGAGUGACCGGAAACCACCGGAGAUCCAGCCUGAGUGGCUGUGAAGGUCUCUGCUUGACCGGCGAGCAGAUCUCUGCGUUUCUUUGCACCGCUGCUGACAUCAAAACCCUCUGGGCUGAGACUGUAGGAGCUGGAUCCCGACUCCUGGCUUGUGUUGAAGAAUGCAUGUUUCAAAGGGAUGGAACGUAGUGCCGGAUCUAGGGAGAGAUGCUUCCUCUGCGAAACAAAAUAAAUAGAACAAGACAGUA